GCAAUUUUUACACCAUUAUUCCAAUAACAGAUUAUGAUGCAAUAAUGUAUUUACCAUUGCCUGAAUUAUCUUUUCGUCCCUUCCCGCUUUGCGACCUCGACCAUGCGUGUGGUCGCCGCUGUAAGUUUACCGUUUGAAACUCGUGUAGUUACGAUAUAUAGCUUCAAAACUUUGAAAAGGAAAAUGUACUCAACCAUAUGAAAGUCUAGUGUCGCAUAAGUCGGAAGAAGUGCCGGAACCCAGCCUGAAACCGCAAGCUCAAAGUACCGGUGCUGUCCGCCAUUGAAAUGCGUUUUCCAGGAUUGUGAAGCUAGGUAUACUCAUGGCCGGGAGGAAGAAAUAUACUGAAUAUUGUAAAAGCCUAAUAUGUUAUACUGUUGUUUUGGAAAAAGUUGAACUGGAACUUAGCUUGAAACCUACAACCUUGAAGUACCGGUGCUCUUCGCGGAUGAAAUUAUGUUUCAGGGAUCGAGUCAAUAGUAAUCAUUACGUUUCCACUCGGUCUACCUGCACCGCUUCUCUCCUCGGCCGACCUAGAUUCAGCACAUAUAAAGUAAAAUGUUGACGGAUGAACUUGGUUGAAGGAAGCGUCGAUUUACAUUAUUAUUUGGUGCCGUACUUAACGUUAUCCAUCGGUAAUCUACAUUCAGGAUAUACGUGCACUCAUUGAUUUAAUAUACCUUUGCAUCGCCACAUAUUUUUGCGGCGAUUAUUGAAUAUAGACAUAGUAACGUUUUAUUUAUUUUUUCA